GACGAACGCUGGCGGCGUGCUUAACACAUGCAAGUCGAACGGAAAGGCCCUGCUUUUGUGGGGUGCUCGAGUGGCGAACGGGUGAGUAACACGUGAGUAACCUGCCCUUGACUUUGGGAUAACUUCAGGAAACUGGGGCUAAUACCGGAUAGGAGCUCCUGCUGCAUGGUGGGGGUUGGAAAGUUUCGGCGGUUGGAGAUGGACUCGCGGCUUAUCAGCUUGUUGGUGGGGUAGUGGCUUACCAAGGCUUUGACGGGUAGCCGGCCUGAGAGGGUGACCGGCCACAUUGGGACUGAGAUACGGCCCAGACUCCUACGGGAGGCAGCAGUGGGGAAUAUUGCACAAUGGGCGGAAGCCUGAUGCAGCAACGCCGCGUGCGGGAUGACGGCCUUCGGGUUGUAAACCGCUUUCGCCUGUGACGAAGCGUGAGUGGCGGUAAUGGGUAAAGAAGCACCGGCUAACUACGUG
rnacentral:rRNA from 1 species